UUUUGCUGCUCUGCAUCUCCGCGAACGCGCGGGGGCCUGAUGUGAUUACUCCAUCAAAACCCGGUAGACACGGUACCGGUACUUCCACACUGGAUGCGCCCGUCGCCCACACGCAAGCGCGUUCGUCCGCUGUUUAGCCCUAGCCAACGUCGACAGCAGCACUCGCCCUGCGUCUGGAAAACGAAAUCAAGCAACUUCUGAAUCGCUCAACUUGUUGUGUGCAGCAGGAGUAACCAGCAGUGUAUCAUAGUUUGAUGAACGUCGAGUGUCGAGGGCGCGGUAGCCGCCAUCUCCACAUAACUAUGGACCAGACGGUCUUCAAUCAACUGCUGCCCAGCCAACUGGCCCUCAACUCUCGAUAUCUCUUACCUUUAGAUCCUCUCAAGUGGAACCGAGAACAUGUUCAGCAGUGGCUUGCCUCAUCUGCUAUCAAGUACAACAUCAGACACAUUGACUACGGCCGAUUCCGGAUGAACGGACGUGGACUGUGCUUGAUGUCAGUGUUGGGAUUCGAGGCACGAGUACCGGGUUCAGGCAGCAUACUCUACACUGAACUGUGCAUCCGAAUCCAGCAGACUAUGGUUCUGAGAGCAGCAAACAUCACUCACUACUAAUACGCGUGUUAUAAUUAUAGAAAGAUAUUAGAACAAAACGGUUACAAUAAAUGCAUGUAUGUAGUAGGUAUCUGUACUGUCAGUAAGAUUAUAUCAUUACUCUAGAGAUAACCGUAGAUAGUUGCAGAUUGAUAUAUGAGA